GACGAACGCUGGCGGCGUGCUUAACACAUGCAAGUCGAACGGAAAGGCCCUGCUUUUGUGGGGUGCUCGAGUGGCGAACGGGUGAGUAACACGUGAGUAACCUGCCCUUGACUUUGGGAUAACUUCAGGAAACUGGGGCUAAUACCGGAUAGGAGCUCCUGCUGCAUGGUGGGGGUUGGAAAGUUUCGGCGCUUGGGGAUGGACUCGCGGCUUAUCAGCUUGUUGGUGGGGUAGUGGCUUACCAAGGCUUUGACGGGUAGCCGGCCUGAGAGGGUGACCGGCCACAUUGGGACUGAGAUACGGCCCAGACUCCUACGGGAGGCAGCAGUGGGGAAUAUUGCACAAUGGGCGAAAGCCUGAUGCAGCAACGCCGCGUGCGGGAUGACGGCCUUCGGGUUGUAAACCGCUUUCGCCUGUGACGAAGCGUGAGUGACGGUAAUGGGUAAAGAAGCACCGGCUAACUACGUG
rnacentral:rRNA from 1 species